rnacentral:rRNA from 1 species
GACGAACGUUGGCGGCGUGCUUAAUACAUGCAAGUCAACUGAAGCAGUGGUAGCAAUAUCGCUGUGGAGGUGGCGCACGGGUGAGUAACACGUAGGUAAUCUGCCUUCAGGUCUGGCAUAACUCCGGGAAACCGGGGCUAAUAGCAGAUGAUGCAGCGGCUCGACAUCGAGACAGUUGUUAAAGCUAUGGCGCCUGAAGAUGAGCCUGCGUCUGAUUAGCUAGUUGGCGGGGUAACGGCCCACCAAGGCAACGAUCAGUAGCUGGUCUGAGAGGAUGAUCAGCCACACCGGAACUGAGACACGGUCCAGACUCCUACGGGAGGCAGCAGUAAGGAAUAUUGCUCAAUGGGAGAAAUCCUGAAGCAGCAACGCCGCGUGAGGGACGAAGGGCUUUUGCUUGUAAACCUCUGUAGUGAGAGAAAAAAAUCCCAAUCUUUGGGACAUGAUGGUAUCUCAAAAGUAAGCCCCGGCUAACUACGUG